UACGUAGGGUGCAAGCGUUGUCCGGAAUUAUUGGGCGUAAAGAGCUCGUAGGCGGUUUGUCGCGUCUGCUGUGAAAACUCGGGGCUUAACUCCGGGCCUGCAGUGGGUACGGGCAGACUAGAGUGCGGUAGGGGAGACUGGAAUUCCUGGUGUAGCGGUGAAAUGCGUAGAUAUCAAGAGGAACACCUGCGGCGAAGGCGGGUGCUGGGCUGACACUGACGCUGAGGCGCGAAAGCUAGGGGAGCGAACGGG
rnacentral:rRNA from 1 species